AUGUCUCAGUUGGUAGGUCGCGUUCCGGGUUUUAUUUUCGUCCCACCAUUUUCGUCCCACCAUUUUCGUCUGAUUUUUUUUCGUUGGUUUUUUUUCGCCGGUUUUUUCGUCCNNNNNNNNNNCCUCUCCAUCCUCCUCCUCAAGACGUCACCAUCGCCUCCGUUCGCCUUCUCCCGCGCCGGCGCCGUCGAGGCCGAGUCGUUCCACUUCCCGCUCUGGCAGGUCUGCGCGGCCGCGUGCGGGGCGUUCGUCUUCUCCCGCGCCGAUGUCGUCGAGGCCGAGGCGUUCGACUUCCCGGCCUGCUAUGGCUGGGUAAUUCUUGUCUUGCUAUAA
rnacentral:rRNA from 1 species